ACAAGUAUCUGGAGCUGCAGGUAAAAGUUAGUUCCUAGUUUCUCUCUCUCUAAUUUUCUCUCUUGAGUCAAAGUCUGCUUCCAUUGCAGGAUCAGUGACCAAGAUUGGACAGGCUUCCAUGAAUCAAAACUUAAUGGUGGUUGCCACCAAGCUCUGUUCACUUCUUUUUGACCUAUAUCCAAGAGUUCUUUGCGAAAGCGAGCCUUGAAGAUUGCCGCCUCCAAGUCCCGUUUCGAACUCUUUUAUUGGAGUCUUUAUGAAUCAAGCCUUAAUGGUUUUAGCCACCAAGUCCUGUUCAGACUCAUCCUAAGUAAACAAUAGAUCUU
rnacentral:lncRNA from 1 species